UGAGUGCCAUGGUGUGACUGACACAGCAUGCUCUGAGGCUCUGAAAGCCCCGGCCAGACUUGGAGAAGAGUUUUUGAAAUGCCGGUAGGAACCCGAGCACACAGUGGUGCUGUAGGAGAUACAGUUGAAGUAGAAAACACAGCGUCAGCCUUUGAAGGGUUUUGGGUCUGGCUGUUAAAGGGGAAACACGCAUGGAAGGGAAUGGAUCCCAGCCGUGUUGAAAGUCUGCCUCUGUGUGAUCUCAAUGUACAGACUACUCUCAGGGCCAAGCAGAUGGCUUUCCAGGGUCUGCAAAGAGAUGGCAGCCUACUUACUUGAGAGCACUUUAAAAAACCAGGAUUCGUGACAACACCAAACACAAGACCCUGAACUUGGAAUGUCUAAUUUAAUAACUUUCAUUUGCAUUUCUAUAGAAACCAACAUGCUUCCUGCUGCCAACCCCAGGAGCCAGAGGUUAAGGUUUUUAAUAAUAAUAACAAUAAUGAGUUAUACUUAUUCCAGAUUAGUUUUCUGGCUCUCCAAAAAACAAAUGGCUAAAAUGUCCAAAAUGUUCCUUUCACAACUCUGCCAAGUGCUGGCUUCUCCUCUCUGUCUGGAGAUCCAGCCAAUCUGUUGAAAAUUAUCCCCCCCCCUUUUUUUUGAGUACUUCCAGGCAGUUGUUCAGAGAGAAGACUAAAUCCUGCAGUCUGAGAUGGACAGCCACAAAUGGAGGCUUUUUUCCAUACUUCUGCAGCAGAAGAAAGUGACACUUUGUAUUCCGAGUCUUACUUCAUUUCUUCUAGGUGUGCAUUUGGGAAAAUGUACACUGGACAUCACAUCACAUCAUACCUAGUUGUGAACAACAUUGUGUUAAUUGGGAGUGUAACAUUUGCCUGGUGACUAUUUUGGUGUUUUUGUUUUUGUUUUCCUUGUGAGUAAGCUUUGGCCUGAAUGUUCACAAACUUACAGAAAACACGGGUUCACUGUGGGGGAAAGAAGCCUUGAGCCUAAAUAAGAAUUAGCCCAUACCCCCUCUUCUGAUUUGAUUUGCGUGGGAGUUAGAGGGGUUUUGGUUUUCAUUUUUGUUUUUGUUUUGGGUGCUGUGUGGAGGGGGGUUAGAGGUGUUAUAAUGAGUUAGUAAGAUUGUCUUAAUUUGAAUACAGGAGGGACUUGAAACUUAUUAGACCCAGUGGAAGAUCUGUGGUUGUGAUCUCCAAAAGUACUUUGUAAGAGCAGAUGGAUAUAUUUUUAAAGAUUAGUUUGGCUGGCAGUUCGCCUGCUCAUCUAUUCCCCUUCAAGUCAGUGGGUGGGCCUGGCUCAGUGCAUGGGAGUGGAAGCUCAGGUUGGGAACCUUAAUCUAACUUAAGCGGGCUGUUUGGCAGUAGUGGAGAAAUGGCUGUCCACCCAGUCGUGGGACACUCACUCCUGUGAAGACUGGCCUGUCUGGGCCACAGUGUCCUCUGCUCAUUAAGUGGAUGCCUUGCACAGGGAUGCCUGGGUUCCUGCAUAAUAGAAACCCCGAGAAGUCUAGUGGCUAGAUUGGGAAACAAUUGCAUUGUAGGCUUGCAGUUUACCCCCAACCUGUAUUUUUUUUUUUUUUUAAGAUUUUAUUUAUUUAUCAACAGAGAGAGAGAGAGAGAUCACAAGUAGGCAGAGAGGCAGGCAGAGAGAGAGGGGGAAGCAGACUCCCUGCCGAGCAGAGACCCUGACAUGGGGUUGGAUCCCAGGACCCUGGCAUCAUGACCUGAGCCGAAGGCAGAGGCUUUAACCCACUGAGCCACCCAGGUGCCUCCUCAACCUGUAUUUUGAUCUUAGGAGACUCCCUGAAUUCCUCUGGGUUUCAGUUUCCUCGUCUGUGAAAUUAAAUGAAAAGAGUAGUAGACUUCUCUGAAAGUCUUCCUAGUUCGAAUAUGUUCCUUGAAGGCUGGGACUCUAUUGGCACCUUUCUUUUGCUUUAAUAAUACAAGUUGGCAAAUUAAUAUUAUCCUUAGUGAAAAUGUCUAUAAGGUUUGGAGGAGGAUCCUGAAAGAGUUCAUUGACCAAAAGUUACAGGGAUAGAAACCAAAAACACUUAUUUUGAAAUAUUGGAGCUUAUGCUAAAUUAGUUUGUUAUUGAUACAUGGAAGAAAUUUCUAGGUGAUUUGUUGCUAGUGUUCUGGAUGAGGCAGGUUUAGCUCUGUUUGAACUAUUUGCAUAUUUAGUGAUUUGCUUAACUAGGGGUUUAUUACUUACACGAUGCUUUUUAGAAUUGCUAAGUAAUAAUUUGUAAAGUAAUAUCUUUGUAGAGUCAAGCUGAUGAGGAUAGGACCCCUAUGGUUGGAAAGAAGAUAGCCCGUGGUGAAUUGGGGCAGGAUUCAUGGAGGGAGUUCUAAGAAAAUCAUUAAGAAGGCAGCUGGUGUUUACAAAGCCUUCCUAGGUGCUGGCACGGUCCUAGGUGUUGGGGCUGGAGCAGAAGCAAGACAGCCUUCGGUUUCAAGGAGCAACUUCCUAGUGAGAGGAGGCAGACCUGAAACAUAUUUAAUAAAACAACAGUGAUUGUAGGGAAUUGGUGAGCGGUGGUGGAUGGUGUGUGCUUCUUUAGCUAGAGAGGUUGGAGCAGUGGGAAUAAUAGGAAGGAAGUAGGUGUGGAAUGUAAACUUUGUCUGGCAAAGCCUUCAGACUCUAAAGUGUGCCUCUUGAGUUCAUGGAGGUGUCUCGCAGCCUAUACCUGCUAAGAUGAAGAGGGCAGCCAGGUGCAGAUCACUCCCCUCAACCCCGCUUCAACCAGAACAGUUCUGGCUUUGUUUUGUUUUGUUUUAAAUAUUGGGAUUAUAUUGGGGGAAGAAAAAGUUGUUGGUUGUAUUAAAGAUUUGGAAAACAACUGCUUGGGAAUAAACCAGUUAUGUUCAUUCUUGCCCCUUAGUGCCUUAGCGCUUGUGUUUUGGCAGUUCAGAUGGAUAGUCAAUAAUCCCGCCUCCCCCCACCAGCCAGGAGGUCCUAAUCCCUGGAACCUAUAAAUGUUACCUUGUAAAGACAAGAGGUCUGUGUAGAUGUGAUUAAAUUAAAGCUUUUGCUCUGGGGUGAUUAUCUUGGAUUGUUUGGGUGGGCUCUAAGGCUGAUAAGAGGAAGGCAGGGCGAGGUCUGAGAGACAGAAAAGGAGAACUCAGUGUGACCACAGAGGCAGAGAUUAGAGCCACACAGCUGCAGGCCUAGGAAGGCCAGCAGCCCCCAGAAGCUAGAAGGGGCAAGAAGUAGGUUCUCCUCUAGAACCUCUGGAGGUGCCUUAUUGGCACUUCGAUUUUUGACCAUUGAUUUUUUUUUAAUAACUUUUUAAGACUUUAUUUACAUUUUUUAGAGAGUGGGGAGGGACUAAGGGAGAAGAAGAGAAUCCUACGCAGGCUCCACCCAACCCUGACCAUGACCUGAGCCAAAAUCAAGGGUCAGACACUUAAGUGAGCCACCCAGGUGCCCCAAGACUUUCUUUAAAAUUAAGUAAUCUCUACACCCAAUGUGGGGCUUGAAUUUACAGCUCAGAGAUUAAGAGCCACAAACUCUACUGACUGAGCCAGCCAGGUGCCCCUGGACCCCUGAUACCAAUUUCAAUUUAUGGCUUCCAGAGCUGGGAGAAAAUAAAUAGAGUAGUUAGGUUAGAUUGUAUGUUCCUUGAUACCAGCAUCCCUUUUAGUUAAUAUUACCUUUUCCACAGAGUCUAACUCGGUCCCUUGAAUAUCAUGACUGUGGUUUAGUUACCUGCUUCUGCAUAUGGCAAAUACCCUAAAAUUUCAUGGCUUAAAGUCACAACUCAUUAUUUCUCAGAGUUCUGUGGGUUGACUGGGUUCAGCUGGUUCAGCUUCGCCAUGUGGUGUCAUCUGGGAUCACUCAGAUGGCUGAGAUAUCUGAGACCUCAGCUAGGACUGGAAUGACCAAGAGGGCUUCACAUUCACAUGUCUGCACCCUCAACAGGGAGCAUAAAUAACGGAGGUGGGGGAUCAUGGGGCCUCUCCCCAGCAGAGUUAGUCAAGUCUGAAACACCAUGAAUGCAGAAGCUGCC
rnacentral:lncRNA from 1 species